rnacentral:pre_miRNA from 1 species
AGUACAAUUGGUGGGUCAUAUGGUAAGAGUAUAUUUGGUUUUGUAAGAAACUGUCAAAUUGUCUUCCAAAGUGGCUGUGCCAUUUUGCAUUCCCAUCAACAAU